rnacentral:sRNA from 1 species
AGAUCACCGGUUCAUCUCGGCGGGUCUCGGCCUAGUAAAAAUAUAUCGUCCUGCUCAGCGAUAAUGUCCUGCAGGCCUGACGGAUACUCAUGGCAAAUUGUGCUAUCUGAUAGCUGGCGAGCUCCCGCUUUACAACUGAUUUC